ACAAGAGCUGUAGGCGAACCCCCAGGCUCCGACCUGGAGUAAGUGGCUGAUGUAGAAACGAAACCAGCAUCUCUGCAGCCACCUCUUUAAAAGAAAGAAAAAGGGUAUCUAUUCUAAGCUGUAGUAAUGCAGAGAGGUCUGCUGCAGGAUGACUCUGCCGUAUGAGCAGCUGUUGGUUCAGAAAGCAAAAGGAAUUAAAAAAAAAAAAAAGGUGUGAAGCCAAACAGCUAAUGAUAUCAGUGAAAGGGUCCUGUGAGUCUUUACUUUCAAGAAGACACAGCAGGGUCUGCCCACUCUCCCACCCCAAGGACUGAUACCAUUACUCUGUGGCUUUGCACAGGCUUGUUUGUGUAAUUAACAGGCUACAGAUUGACUUGGUUUAGCCCAAACUAGGUUUGAGCGGGUGUAAUGCUACUGUGGCUUCAGCCAUCAAAGCAGGGCACAGAACAGGUUUAGUAAAGGGCAGGAUUUUUACCUUCAGUUGGAUUUCUUGCGCUUGUUUCUCUAUUUUUUGUUCCAACAGAGUGAUUUUGUGCAUCAUGGAGGACACAAGCUCCAUGUCACUGCGAGCUGCUCCUGAAACCACAAAUAGGUGUUACCGCUCUAAAAUGGUGAUCGGUGGUGGAGGUUUAUCUGUGACAUAAAGGACCUCACAGAAGAAUUCCUGUUCUACUACAGCAAUGUUGUCCCCCUUGAGUGGCAGCAGAGACUGCCUUGCACUGGAUUCUUUGUCCUAGGAGACAGUCUGUCAUCUUCUGAGAAGAGGCACAAAGAGCAUGGCAGAAAGAAAACAGCUGCAGAAAGCAACUCUUCUCUUAAAACUGAGGAAACGUAAACGCGAUACAAACCUGUGCGGGACGUGACUGACCGAUAUCGCUGGUAUCUGCUGGGGAGCGAUGCCGGCCGGGAGGCAGCAGCAAUGCUUUCCCUCACCAAGGGAUACCACACACUCGUUUUGCCUCGCUGGUGCUCUGAACACCCAGCAUUUCGUUUGCCACCAUCCAGAGCUCCUUCUCUGCAUGUCCCAUGUCCCACCCGCCACUGCCAUGCUGCCCCACUCUCUGGAGAGCUCAGCCUCAUCAGUUGGAGAGGAGCAGAAUAGGCUGAUUUUUAGCACCUUUUGCGGGGUGUUCUCUGUCCCCAUGAGACUUUUAUUUUGACACUUCUAUGAAAUGCAAAUUCACAAGAUUGGGUGAAGCUUUGCUGCAUAGAAACCUUCAGCUCCGUGUGGAGGCUGGUGACAGGCUUGCUGCGCUGUGAUGCACUUCCCCAACAUAAUAAGACAACAGCAUCAGCAUCGUCUGCGACUUCCCCAAAUUGUCCUGGAUUCAAAACAACCCUUUGGGGCGGCGGGGCUGGUGCAGGGGAGAAAGAUGUGAUUGGUGGGACAGGGCCAGCACUGCGCUUAAAGCCUCCAGCUGCCGUUGCUGCGAGCAGAUGGGGAAGUGUCACAGCACACUGUGAGCCCAGCCCUGACCAUGCAGCCCCUCCAGCGUGCCCACCUGCUCCUCCUGCUCACCCUGCUUGUCCUCUGCAUGCCCCUCGGCCGGGCAAAGGAGGGGGAGGGGGUCACGGCCACCUCCCACACCACUGCAAGCCAGAUCGUAAGCAGCCUGAGCCCUCCCUGUGGCAGCCCACUCCUCUCCCUCGCCUUGGGGCUGGCUGUGGCUUUCUUCCUGCGGCUGCGCUGACCCCCUACGCCCCC